rnacentral:lncRNA from 1 species
GAUCAGUCGACUGCUUCCAGCAGUGCCUUCCGAGGAGGAUCUGAGUCGCUUCUCCAUAAAUCUGCCUUCUCGAUAUGGACUGAAGCUAUUGGCGAGAUCAACGUUAGGAUGGUUUGUUUCAUAUCCCUGUUGUGUUCUAAAGGACUGAGGUUCAGAAUAUUGAAUAAUCUUAGGUUCCAUUACAGGAAUUGUUUCUCUUAUGUGCUUAGAGAACGUGUUUUCCAAUUGGUCCUCACUCAACUCCUUUGCUGCUGGCGAGUGCAACCCCAGUUCUUCUUUAUGCUGUAACGCAAAGGUUUCUAUAUUCAACUUUGCUGAGUUCAUUUCUCCUUUAUGCCUGGCAUCUGUAACACAAAGUUCAUUGGCUUGCAGUGAUGCUUUUGUUUGAACAGCAGCUGAGGUUUUGAACAAGGUAUUAG